rnacentral:rRNA from 1 species
UCCGGUGGUUAGAGCGGGGUGGCACCACCCGUUCCCUUCCCGACCACGGAAGUGAAACGCCCCAGCGUCGACGAUACUCGAGGGGUAACUUUCUGGGAAAAUAGACCGCUGCCGGGA